rnacentral:rRNA from 1 species
UACGGAGGGUGCGAGCGUUGUCCGGAAUCAUUGGGCGUAAAGGGCGCGUAGGUGGCCCGGUCAGUUCGUGGUGAAAGCGCGGGGCUCAACCCUGCGUCGGCCAUGAAUACUGCCGCGGCUGGAGCACUGUAGAGGCAGGCGGAAUUCCGGGUGUAGCGGUGGAAUGCGCAGAUAUCAGGAAGAACACCCGUGGCGAAGGCGGCUCUCUGGGACGGUACUGACGCUGAGACGCGAAAGCGUGGGGAGCGAACAGG